CCGGAAGUGGUAUGCACUAGCUUGACCGCAAGGAAGAUGAACUUUUUUGAGAAUUUAACGGAGUUUUCUGAUUGUUUAUUCACAAAUUAACAAAGGACUUUUUCGGAAAACAUUUUUUUCUAGAUUUCUUCUUACAUUUCAGUAAGAAUUUGUCCCGCAGUGACGCGUUUUGUGGCUCUUCAAAUAUUUUAGUAUUCGGAAAUUUUCCUUUCGCUGUUUAGCUAACAGUUUGCUAAGAGGAUUUCAUCUUUAGCCUGGAUGAAGACCGGUCUCAGCUAAACAGAUUCUGUUCGUCGCUCACUGAGUGAACUUCACCCAGCAGACGGUCACCGCGCCGCCAUCUUUGAACGCCAUGUUUGGUUCUUCUUGUCACGUGAUUCUGUGGACUCAACGUCUGAAUCUGUUUCAGGUCACACUCAGAAGGACGAAGGCGAGAGGAGGAGGAGGAGGAACAAAUUAGAGAAAUGAGAACAGCCUGAGGAGAGGUGAGGAAGGAGCACGGGGAGCAAACACGACAGCUCCGCCGCAAUUCGCUCUUUCUAUCAAGUUCUGCAGAGAGGAACGCAGCAUCUCCAUAAGGUCACCGCAGCGCCGUCGUCCUGCAGAAUCAAACUGAAACGGCGUUCAGUCACUGAGCUGUGAAGGAGGUUCUCAUCAUGUCCAGGACGCCACCAGAAAAAUGGAUUUUAGGAGUUUGAACUUUCAUUAAAAACUACAGGAAGGACGCCAGGAGGAUUCUGGGAAUGGGAACGCUGAGGAUGCUGAUAAAUGCCCCCCAAAAGAGAAGACUGCUGCAAACCAAACCCCUGCAAAAACAGGCCAGAAACAGCUCAUUAGGGGGCGCUGUUUUCUGAAACGAGCACUGAAAGAACGGAGAAGAGAAGAAAAGGGUUGCUGGAGCCUAUCCCAGCUAUAGUUGGGUGAAGGCCGGCUUUCCCCUGAAUAGGUUCAGGGUAAACCUGCUGAGAGGAGGAGCUUAUGAUUCUCAAAGGACGAUGAAAUCGUCUGAAUGGAAUUAUUGAAUACAAUUGAAUUUCAAAAAUUGCAAAAAUAAUAAAAGUUGUAGUUUCUACAGUUUUUUAUGAUGGUAGAUUUUUACAAGUUGUUUAUCUAAUUUUACUUGUAAUUCUGUUUUUUUAAAGCACUUUCAGGUGUUUUUAAUAUAGGAAAAGGACGUUGUUAAUUCACUUUGUCUUUCAACCAUCUGUGCCA